CCCUGCAUUUGAAAGUGAUUGUGGGUUGGCUGUGCCCCAGUCAUUGAUAGUGCAGUGAGAGAAACACUGAAAGACGUUUUCCCCGUGUUUGGAGGGUCCGCCUGUCCCUUCUAAACCCUGGAGCUUUCCCACA
ensembl:snoRNA SNORA71 Small nucleolar RNA SNORA71